UCAUUUGAUCGCGACAUUUGCAUUGCUUUCUUGUUGCAAAAGAGUUUAAUUGUCGGAUGACGCUGUUGCAUGGAUGCACUUGUUAUCUUCGGCUUAGCGUUAUUGGGAUCUCGAGGAUGAGUUGAAAGACAGAGGACCCAGAUUAGACAUGACAUGUGGAAUUCCACGAACAUUUCUACUAGAUGUAGAGCAGUGGCGUGCUGUAGCAUAGUAUGUUCAUAUGUUGUACAAGCGGUGUUUAAGUGGACUGUUCGUGUAAUCAGAUUGUAGUUAUGUAUUACUUACCCUGGGAUAUACGCAUUGCCAUGGACAGAUCUUGCGUGA